rnacentral:misc_RNA from 1 species
AACGCACCUUGCGCUCCUUGGUAUUCCGAGGAGCAUGCCUGUUUGAGUGUCAUUAAUAUAUAUAUCAACCCUCCUCUUUUUGAGUGGUUUGGAUGUGGGGGUUUGCUGGCCUCUUAGAGGGUUCAGCUCCCCUGAAAUGCAUCAGCGGAACAACCUGUUCAUUGGUGUGAUAACUAUCUACGCUAAUUUGAAUGUGAAGGGCAGUUCGGCUUUCUAACCGUCCUUGGACAAUUUCAUCAUUAAUGUGACCUCAAAUCAGGCAGGACUACCCGCUGAACUUAA